CAGGAAUGACCUGCCAGGUCGUGCGCUGCGCACACCAGACCAGAGCCGCUAGCUGCCACAGACGCGCGCUUCCUGGAAGGCUGGAACCUACGUACAGGUUCAGACUGUGGAAAAAUCGAACGAGGUAACUUGGGCGACUCGCCAGGCAUGCAUCCAUGGCGCUCUCUGAACAGGCUGCCGGAUUUUUACAGUCAUCCGCUAGUCGCUAUAUAUAUAUCGGCGACGCACGGGCCCCAUACUUUCGCUAGUUCAGGCGACGCCUGUGAUCCGAUCGGAAUAGGCCAUGGACCUCCGGCACCACGCCAUCCAGCUCAGCGCGAGUCCUGGCUCGGCGGCUGCCGCAACGCGGCCCGGCGGCGAUGGUGGCACGAUGAGCUCCGAGCUGUACCUUGCUGUGUGCGGGGGGAAGAAGGAGAAAACCAUGGCGCUGCUUCGGCAACACCCCAGUGGUAAUGUUUACCAAACUGUUGGAUUUCCCGUCAUCUGUACGUACACAUACUUAUCGGUGCACAAUAGCUAGAUGUAAGUUGUUUGAAUUUAUAAUUUGGAUGAAUCGAAUUUUGAGUGAUGGAACCAACAGCCAGAGAGAAGGAAGGAGCUCGUUGGAGAAGUGUCUGGGUCUGUCUUAGGAUGGCAGGCGACUCCAUCAUCUAUCUUAAGGUGUGGGAGAUAGUGCAAAUUCACCAAAAAAAACUGCCCUUCGCCGGGGCUAGAGGGAUGACCGGGGGCAGCAGUAGCAUGCCGGUGAGCGAUGGUUGAGGAGAGGGUGGGGCGGCGAGGCUAGCGCGGGAGUGCCGCCGCCCACGGGCGGUGGUGACUGGCGGUCCAGCCGGUGGUCCGUGGGGGCACUUGGGGAGGAAGCCGUGGGGAGGUUUAAGAUAUUCGAGAGGUUGAAGAAAGGAUCCGGCUGUCCGUUUUGCAUUCGACAGCGGGAAAGAAUCAACUGACCCAGUUUAAUUUUUCAGUCAACUUACACCUAGCCACUCCGUGUACCAAAAUUUAUGAAAGUUCACUCUUUUGUACAGCUAAACUAAAGUAUUGAAACUCGCUAGAGUUUGGCUGAAAUUGUACCAAUGUUUGAGAAAAAUUAUAAAUUUCAAGUUCUACCUAAGUUUAGCUCGAAUUCAUUAGUCACCGAUAGUUUGCAAAAAAAGGUGUCACCAAUAUAUUUUGGCUGCUACAAACAAUUUGAAGACCCAAUUUCAUUGUUUUGUUGUUGGGUUGGGCGGGUCAUGACCUACUUUCGUCUCCGCCCGCUACUGGUUGAUACGAUUAAUAUUUUGGGACAGAGCAAGUAUUUUGGUGCAUAGUGAAUUAACUAGGUUUUCCUAUUUUCUUUUGAAAUUUUAUUCAAACUUAAUGGGAACACAUGUUUUUAUUGUGAGGGGAAACCCACGUAUAUAUUUGAAUUGUUUCAGGCAUACACCAAGUCAGCGCGGAGAGGAACAACGUUCUUCAUUUAGCCGCAGAGCAUGGCCACGUCGAGCUAAUCCAAGAGCUCGCCAUCUUCGGGGACAAGAGCUUGCUGUCUUGCCAGAACUCAGCUCUCGACACGCCUCUGCACCUCGCGGCGAGGGCGGGGCAUGACAAGGCCGUAUCCCUCCUCGUCCAGCUCGCGCGGGACUGCGGGAUGAGGGUGUCUUACGGUGCAAGAACGAGGCUGGGGACACGGCCCUUCAUCUGGCGGCCAGACUCGGCCAUGGUGCGCCAGUUGAGGCUAUGGUCUCCGUGGUGCCCGACCUGGCCUCUGAGGUUAACGACGCGUCCGUGUCGCCGCUGUACUUGGCGGUGAUGAGCAGGUCGGUGCGAGCCGUCAAAGCUAUAACGACCAGGUGCGGCGAUGCGUCGGCUGCUGGCCCGAGCUCGCAAAACGCUCUGCACGCCGCCGUCUUCCAGGGCUCAGAAAUGGUGAGGCUGCUACUGGAGUGGAAGCCAUGUGGCCCAUCCCUGGCUAGCCAAGCCGACGGCGCCGGCAGUACUCCGCUGCAUUUCGCUUCGUCGGACGGUGACCUCUCCAUCGUACGUGCCAUCCUGAGCGCCGUGCCGCCAUCCGCGGUGCACGCGCGGGACUCAGGCGGCCUCUCUGCUCUCCACGUCGCGGCAGGGAUGGGCCACGUCCGCGUCGCCGAGGCGCUGAUGAAAGCCUGCCCCGACGCCGCCGAGCUGAGGGACGACCGCGGCGGAACCUUCGUGCACGCCGCGGCCAGUGGAGGCCACUCCAAGGUCGUGCGGCUCGCCAUCAAGAGACCCACGCUGCACGGCAUCCUGAACACGCAGGACAGAGACGGCAACACGGCUCUCCACCUGGCGGUGGCCGCACGCGCGCCGGCCGUGGCGGAGGCCCUGAUGUGGAAGGGGAAAGUGCGAGCGGACGUCAUGAACAACGAGGGGCAGACGCCGUUGGAUCUCGCCGCGAAAUCGACCAGUUUCUUCUCCAUGGUAAGUCUGGUGGCGACACUGGCCGCAUUCGGCGCGCAGUCCCGUCCUCAAAGGCGGGACCAUGUCCAGCAAUGGAACAACCACGACAUAACAAAGGCGAUAGAGAAGACGUCGGACAGCCUCGCGGUGAUCGCCGUUCUCGUCGCUGGCGUCGCCUUCACCGCCGCCAACAACAUACCCGGCUCGUACGAGCAGGAGGGGAAUAAAAUAGGGAUGGCGGUCCUCCAGAAGAAGCCCAUCUUCAAAUGCUUCAUUAUCCUGGACAGCUUGGCCCUGGUGACCUCCGUGCUCGCCGUCGUCCUGCUCGUCUACGGCAAGGCCUCACGCUCCGCCGGGUCGUGGAAAACCUUCACGGCGGCGCUGCACUGCCUGUGGUUGUCCCUGAUCAGCAUGGUCCUGGCAUUCUAUGCGGCUCUGGCAGCCGUCACGAGCACCAGGGCGGUCCACGACAUCAGCUACUUCAUCAUAAACGGUGCCCUUUGCCUGAUGUUAGCCGUGGUCACGCAUUUGGUCAGCCCUCGCGUGUCCCACCACACGCUGUGGAAGUACCUUUGGCACCAAUGUGGCUUGAAAGGACGUCAAGGUGUCAUCCGUAGGCGUAUCAGACAGCAGUAUCCAGUCGUCGGUGCUUUCGUGCGCAACCUACUUCUGUUCAGGGCUGCAUAUUAUGUUGUAGUGCCUGCUGGUUUUGUCAUAGUCUGGAAACACGGUGACCGUGCGGCAAGAGAGAUGAAGCAAUUGAUGUAAGUAUAUAUUUUAAAUAUUAUCUUUUCAAUCAACAGGGCGUCGCCCGGCCCUGGCCCCAUUUUCAUUGAAACGAAACGAAACGAAACCGUACAUAGUCCAAUAGUCGAGAUCUAAAAAAAAUGAAAUGUAAUAUCAC
rnacentral:rRNA from 1 species